CGCAUCUUGCGCUCUUGGGUAUUCCUAAGAGCAUGUCUGUUUGAGUGUCGCGAUAAUCAUCAACGCUCCCUCUUUGUUAAUUCAAAGAGUGUGUCUUUUCUGUUUCAACAUUACCAAUUUUUGGCAAUUAGAAACAAAAUGAUAUCAGGGUGUUGGAGUUUGAUGUCUUUCUCGUUCUGAAAAAAAGAACGAGAUACGUCGAAAUGCAGAUUAGGGUUACAUGUUAAGAAAACUACCGAGUGUAACGAUUCGCUUUGCGUAAUAAUUAUUUCGCUUGGCACAGUUCACUUGAACAAGGUCUUGACAAAUCCUUCGAAUCAUAUAUUUUUAAAAUAUCAAAUUUUUGACCUCAAAUCAGUCAGGACUACCCGCUGAACUUAA
rnacentral:misc_RNA from 1 species